AAUGAAACUUCAGAGACUACGGUGGGUGAGUAGCAGGAAACAGCUUUCCCUCAGCUCCCAAUAAAUUAUACCAAGUAAGUGAGCAACUAAUCCAACUACGUGUGAAGUCAACCCUUCCCUUAAGAGGUUUACAAUCUCCUUGGGGUGACAAGAUGUGCCUGAGAACAAUUACGUCAUGAAUGUGGCUCUGGCUGACUGGUUGAGGAAGUGGGGACACUCACUCCCUUUCUUCUAACAGAAGACAGGAGGGCCGUGCCUCUUAAUUGGAUCAGGGGGCUUGGAGCUGCCACUUGGGCUCUCGAAAUGUGACUGUGGGUGGCAUGAAGGGAUGGAACUUGGAGCUUGAUUCACUUCGCUGCCGCUCUGGCCAGCACCGCUCACCGUCAGUUCCAUCCGAGGCUGGCUGUCCAGGCUGUUCAUGACGCAGGCCCUGUUGCACGGUUUCCUUAUAGAGUCCAGAGUCAGCUCACUCCUCCAUUACGUCGCACAUCCACAAAGGAGGGGAAGGAGAGGCAGCGGCAUCGCUGCCCGCCGCACGGACGGAUCACCAGCAGCUCCGAUGAAGGCGGAGGUUUUAAACUACAGUUGUGUCUAAGAUGAAGUUUGGGGAUUAGGUGUCUCUGCUUUCCAUUACCCCAGACAGAAGUGUGCUGGCAGAAUGUCUGCCCUCGGAGCCAGCUGGCUGGCCAAAGGUGAAAGGAGAGGAGGAGAAAAAGAGGCGUCUAUCAAUCCACUUUUUCCAUCAGCACGGUCCUCUAAGGUAGACUGCUGGCCUCUCUGUCACGCCCCCGGAAACUGAAGCUCUGGGAUGUGUCGGAGUUACCCAAGGACACAGAAAGCCUUGUCCCCAAGGGCCUGUCCUAGAUUGUGAGACUGUUGGUAUAUCUGCUCUCAGCGCUAACAAUAAAAAAUAGAAAAGAAAAGCCCACAGUGUAAGUCUUAAAUUUGAGGGAAAUGCUGUAUUGGCUUAGGACUGAGAAAUAGAUGUUUGACAUCUAGAUAGAAAUAUCCCAAAUAAAAG
rnacentral:lncRNA from 1 species